GAGUUUGAUCGUGGCUCAGGACGAACGCUGGCGGCGUGCUUAACACAUGCAAGUCGAACGAGAAUCUACUGAAAGAGUUUUCGGACAAUGGAAGUAGAGGAAAGUGGCGGACGGGUGAGUAACGCGUGAGGAACCUGCCUUGAAGAGGGGGACAACAGUUGGAAACGACUGCUAAUACCGCAUGAUGCAUAAGGUCGCAUGAUUCUUAUGCCAAAGAUUUAUCGCUUCAAGAUGGCCUCGCGUCUGAUUAGCUAGUUGGCGGGGUAACGGGCCCGACCAAGGCGACGAUCAGUAGCCGGACUGAGAGGUUGAACGGCCACAUUGGGACUGAGAUACGGCCCAGACUCCUACGGGAGGCAGCAGUGGGG
rnacentral:rRNA from 1 species